rnacentral:rRNA from 1 species
CCUCAGAAUGGUUGGAAAUCAUUCAUAGAGUGUAAAGGCAUAAGGGAGCUUGACUGCGAGACCUACAAGUCGAGCAGGGUCGAAAGACGGACUUAGUGAUCCGGUGGUUCCGCAUGGAAGGGCCAUCGCUCAACGGAUAAAAGCUACCCCGGGGAUAACAGGCUUAUCUCCCCCAAGAGUUCACAUCGACGGGGAGGUUUGGCACCUCGAUGUCGGCUCAUCGCAUCCUGGGGCUGUAGUCGGUCCCAAGGGUUGGGCUGUUCGCCCAUUAAAGCGGUACGCGAGCUGGGUUCAGAACGUCGUGAGACAGUUCGGUCCCUAUCCGUCGUGGGCGUAGGAAAUUUGAGAGGAGCUGUCCUUAGUACGAGAGGACCGGGAUGGACAUACCUCUGGUGUACCAGUUGUCGUGCCAACGGCAUAGCUGGGUAGCUAUGUGUGGACGGGAUAAGUGCUGAAAGCAUCUAAGCAUGAAGCCCCCCUCAAGAUGAGAUUUCCCAACUUCGGUUAUAAGAUCCCUCAAAGAUGAUGAGG